rnacentral:lncRNA from 1 species
GCUAAAACAUCUCCAGCAGCUACUACAACAGCAGGGCCUACAAGCACAACAAUAGCACCUACCACAACAACAGAAGCAAUCGUUAAAACAACUACUACAAUCGAAAAGCCUACAAGCACAACAUUGGCCCCUACCACGACAACAGAAGCAAUCGCUAAAACAACUACUACAACAGAAGAGUCUACAAGCACAACAUUGGCCCCUACCCUGACAACAGAAACAGUCACCAAAAUAACUUCAGCAGCUAUAACAACAGCAGAGCCUUCAACCACAACUUUGGCCCCAACCACAACAACAGAACCAGUCGCUAAAACAACUACUACAAGAGAAAAGCCUAGAAGCACAACAUUGGCCCCUACCACGACAACAGAAGCAGACGCUGAAACAACUAUUGCAACAGAAAAACCUACAAGUACAACAGUGGCCCCUAACACAACAACAGAAGCAGUCGCUAAAACAACUUCUACAACAGAAAAGCCUACAACCACAACAUUGGACCCUACCAGGACAACAGAAGCAGUCGCAAAAACAACUUCUACAACAGAAAAACCUACAAGCACAACAUUGACCCCUAACACAACAACAGAAGCAGUCGCUAAAACAUUUACUACAACAGAAAAGCCUACAACCACAACAUUGGCCCCAACCACAACAACAGAAGCAGUCGGUAAAACAACUAUGACAACAGAAGAGCCUACAAGCACAACAUCGGCCCCUAACACAACAACAGAAGCAGUCGUCAAAACAACUGCUACAACAGAAGAGCCUUCAAGCACAACAUUGGUUCAAACCAAAACAACAGAAGCAGUCAGUAAAACAACUACUACAACAGAAGAGCCUACAAGUACAACAUUGGCACCUACUAAGACAACAGAAACAGUAUCCAGUACAACUACAGCAGCUACAAGAACAGCAGAGCCUUCAACCACAACAUUGGCACCAACCACAACAACAGAAGCAGUCGGUAAAACCAACUACAGCAGCUACUACAACAGCAGAGCCUUCAACCACAACAUUGGCCCCAACCACAACAACAGAAGCAGUCGGUAAAACAACUACAGCUGCUACUUCAAAAGCAGAGCCUACAAUCACAACAUUGGCCCCAACCACAAACAAAAGAAGCAGUCAGUUAAUACAACUACAGCAGCUACUACAACAGCAGAGCCUUCAACCACAACAUUGGCCCCAAACACAACAACAGAUGCAGUCAGUAGAACAACUACUACAACAGAAGAGCCCUUCAAGCACAACAUUGGUCCAAACCAAAACAAACAGAAGCAGUCUGUAAAACAACUACAAAAGAGGCUUUCGCUAAACAACUACAUUGGCCCCUACCACAACAACAGAAACAGUCACCAGAACAACUACAUCAGCUACUACAACAGCAGAGCAUACAAGCACAACAUUGGCCCCUAACACAACAAACAGAAGAUGUCAGUAAAACAACUACUACAACAAGCAGAGCAUACAACCUCAACACUGGUCCAAACCACAACAACAGAAGCAGUCGGUAAAACAACUACUACAACAGAAGAGCAAUACAACCACAACAUUGGUCCAAACCACAACAACAGAAGCAGUCGGUAAAACAACUACUACAACACAAGAGCCUACAAGUACAACAUUGGCACCUACUACGACAACCGAAACAGUAUCCAGGAACAAACUACAUUAGCUACUACAACAGAAGAGCCUUCAACCACAACAUUGGCCCCUAGCAAAACAACAGAAGCAGUCGCUAAAACAACUACUACAACAGAAGAGCCUACAACUACAACAUUGGCCCCUAACAUGACAAUAGAAACAGUAGCCAGAACAACUACAGCAGCUACUACAACAGCAGAGCAUACAACCACAACAUUGGCCCCAAACACAACAACAGAAGCAGUCGGUAAAACAACUACUACAACAGAAGAGCCUUCAACCACAACAUUGGCCCCAAACACAACAUUGGCCCCUACCAAAAAACAGAA